rnacentral:rRNA from 1 species
GAUGAACGCUGGCGGCGUGCCUAAUACAUGCAAGUCGAGCGAACGGACGAGAAGCUUGCUUCUCUGAUGUUAGCGGCGGACGGGUGAGUAACACGUGGAUAACCUACCUAUAAGACUGGGAUAACUUCGGGAAACCGUAGCUAAUACCGGAUAAUAUUUUGAACCGCAUGGUUCAAAAGUGAAAGACGGUCUUGCUGUCACUUAUAGAUGGAUCCGCGCUGCAUUAGCUAGUUGGUAAGGUAACGGCUUACCAAGGCAACGAUGCAUAGCCGACCUGAGAGGGUGAUCGGCCACACUGGAACUGAGACACGGUCCAGACUCCUACGGGAGGCAGCAGUAGGGAAUCUUCCGCAAUGGGCGAAAGCCUGACGGAGCAACGCCGCGUGAGUGAUGAAGGUCUUCGGAUCGUAAAACUCUGUUAUUAGGGAAGAACAUAUGUGUAAGUAACUGUGCACAUCUUGACGGUACCUAAUCAGAAAGCCACGGCUAACUACGUGCCAGCAGCCGCGGUAAUACGUAGGUGGCAAGCGUUAUCCGGAAUUAUUGGGCGUAAAGCCGCGCGUAGGCGGUUUUUUAAGUCUGAUGUGAAAGCCCACGGCUCAACCCGGGGAGGGUCAUUGGAAACUGGAAAACUUGAGUGCAGAAGAGGAAAGUGGAAUUCCAUGUGUAGCGGUGAAAUGCGCAGAGAUAUGGAGGAACACCAGUGGCGAAGGCGACUUUCUGGUCUGUAACUGACGCUGAUGUGCGAAAGCGUGGGGAUCAAACAGGAUUAGAUACCCUGGUAGUCCACGCCGUAAACGAUGAGUGCUAAGUGUUAGGGGGUUUCCGCCCCUUAGUGCUGCAGCUAACGCAUUAAGCACUCCGCCUGGGGAGUACGACCGCAAGGUUGAAACUCAAAGGAAUUGACGGGGACCCGCACAAGCGGUGGAGCAUGUGGUUUAAUUCGAAGCAACGCGAAGAACCUUACCAAAUCUUGACAUCCUUUGACAACUCUAGAGAUAGAGCCUUCCCCUUCGGGGGACAAAGUGACAGGUGGUGCAUGGUUGUCGUCAGCUCGUGUCGUGAGAUGUUGGGUUAAGUCCCGCAACGAGCGCAACCCUUAAGCUUAGUUGCCAUCAUUAAGUUGGGCACUCUAAGUUGACUGCCGGUGACAAACCGGAGGAAGGUGGGGAUGACGUCAAAUCAUCAUGCCCCUUAUGAUUUGGGCUACACACGUGCUACAAUGGACAAUACAAAGGGCAGCGAAACCGCGAGGUCAAGCAAAUCCCAUAAAGUUGUUCUCAGUUCGGAUUGUAGUCUGCAACUCGACUACAUGAAGCUGGAAUCGCUAGUAAUCGUAGAUCAGCAUGCUACGGUGAAUACGUUCCCGGGUCU